GAUGAACGCUGGCGGCGUGCCUAAUACAUGCAAGUCGAGCGAACGGACGAGAAGCUUGCUUCUCUGAUGUUAGCGGCGGACGGGUGAGUAACACGUGGAUAACCUACCUAUAAGACUGGGAUAACUUCGGGAAACCGGAGCUAAUACCGGAUAAUAUUUUGAACCGCAUGGUUCAAAAGUGAAAGACGGUCUUGCUGUCACUUAUAGAUGGAUCCGCGCUGCAUUAGCUAGUUGGUAAGGUAACGGCUUACCAAGGCAACGAUGCAUAGCCGACCUGAGAGGGUGAUCGGCCACACUGGAACUGAGACACGGUCCAGACUCCUACGGGAGGCAGCAGUAGGGAAUCUUCCGCAAUGGGCGAAAGCCUGACGGAGCAACGCCGCGUGAGUGUUGAAGGUCUUCGGAUCGUAAAACUCUGUUAUUAGGGAAGAACAUAUGUGUAAGUAACUGUGCACAUCUUGACGGUACCUAAUCAGAAAGCCACGGCUAACUACGUGCCAGCAGCCGCGGUAAUACGUAGGUGGCAAGCGUUAUCCGGAAUUAUUGGGCGUAAAGCGCGCGUAGGCGGUUUUUUAAGUCUGAUGUGAAAGCCCACGGCUCAACCGUGGAGGGUCAUUGGAAACUGGAAAACUUGAGUGCAGAAGAGGAAAGUGGAAUUCCAUGUGUAGCGGUGAAAUGCGCAGAGAUAUGGAGGAACACCAGUGGCGAAGGCGACUUUCUGGUCUGUAACUGACGCUGAUGUGCGAAAGCGUGGGGAUCAAACAGGAUUAGAUACCCUGGUAGUCCACGCCGUAAACGAUGAGUGCUAAGUGUUAGGGGGUUUCCGCCCCUUAGUGCUGCAGCUAACGCAUUAAGCACUCCGCCUGGGGAGUACGACCGCAAGGUUGAAACUCAAAGGAAUUGACGGGGACCCGCACAAGCGGUGGAGCAUGUGGUUUAAUUCGAAGCAACGCGAAGAACCUUACCAAAUCUUGACAUCCUUUGACAACUCUAGAGAUAGAGCCUUCCCCUUCGGGGGACAAAGUGACAGGUGGUGCAUGGUUGUCGUCAGCUCGUGUCGUGAGAUGUUGGGUUAAGUCCCGCAACGAGCGCAACCCUUAAGCUUAGUUGCCAUCAUUAAGUUGGGCACUCUAAGUUGACUGCCGGUGACAAACCGGAGGAAGGUGGGGAUGACGUCAAAUCAUCAUGCCCCUUAUGAUUUGGGCUACACACGUGCUACAAUGGACAAUACAAAGGGCAGCGAAACCGCGAGGUCAAGCAAAUCCCAUAAAGUUGUUCUCAGUUCGGAUUGUAGUCUGCAACUCAACUACAUGAAGCUGGAAUCGCUAGUAAUCGUAGAUCAGCAUGCUACGGUGAAUACGUUCCCGGGUCU
rnacentral:rRNA from 1 species